rnacentral:rRNA from 1 species
ACUCAAAGGAAUAGACGGGGACUCGCACAAGCAGUGGAGCAUGUGGUUUAAUCCGAUACAACGCGUAGAACCUUACCAAGGCUUGACAUGUCUGGCAAAACUGUGGAAACGCAGCGGAGGUUAUCCAGACACAGGUGCUGCAUGGCCGUCGUCAGUUCGUGCCGUGAGGUGUAUGGUUAAGUCCUAUAACGAACGCAACCCUUGGGCUUAGUUGCCAGCAUUUAGUUGGGGACUCUAAGCCGACUGCCUGAGUAAUCAGGAGGAAGGAAAGGAUGACGUCUGGUCGUCAUGGCCCUUAUGCCUUGGGCGACACACGUGCUACAAUGGUUAAGACAAAGCGUCGCCAACCCGCGAGGGGGAGCCAAUCGCAAAAAAUUAAUCUCAGUUCGGAUUGGAGGCUGCAACUCGCCUCCAUGAAGUUGGAAUUGCUAGUAAUCGCAAAUCAGCCAUGUUGCGGUGAAUACGUUCUCGAGUCUUGUACACACCGCCCGU